rnacentral:rRNA from 1 species
CCUACGGGAGGCAGCAGUGGGGAAUAUUGGGCAAUGGGCGCAAGCCUGACCCAGCAACGCCGCGUGAAGGAAGAAGGCUUUCGGGUUGUAAACUUCUGUUGGCAGGGACGAAACAAGUGACGGUACCGGAGGAAUAAGCAACGGCUAACUGCGUGCCAGCAGCCGCGAUAAUACGUAGGUGGCAAGCGUUAUCCGGAUUUACGGGGUGUAAAGGGGGCGUAGGCGGGGAAGCAAGUCAGAAGUGAAAACCACGGGCUCAACCUGUAGCCUGCAUUUGAAACUGUUUUUCUUGAGUGCAGGAGAGGCAAUCGGAAUUCCGUGUGUAGCGGUGAAAUGCGUAGAUAUACGGAGGAACACCAGUGGCGAAGGCGGAUUGCUGGACAGUAACUGACGCUGAGGCGCGAAAGCGUGGGGAGCAAACAGGAUUAGAUACCCGAGUAGUC